rnacentral:RNase_P_RNA from 1 species
GAAGUGGGCUGGGCAGCCGCGCUGGCGUGGGGCAACUCACGCGGUGAGGAAGGUCCGGACUCCAGAGGGCAGGGUGACGGCUAACGGCCGUGCGCGGUGACGCGACGAACAGGACCACAGAGACGAGUAUGCGCAGCGCAAGCUGCGCGGACGUGAAACGCGGCAACCUCCACCCGGAGCAACACCAAAUAGGCAGACGAUGCGGGGCUUUCGGGCCUUGUGAAAGCGCGGCUCGCGCGAGUCUGCGGGUAGGUGGCACCGAGCCGAUGCGGUAACGCGCGGCCCAGAGGAAUGGCUGCCACGUCGGGCAACCGACGCACAGAAUCCGGCCUACAGGCCCACUUCGCAC